rnacentral:lncRNA from 1 species
AGUGUUGCUGAACUAAAAUUGUCUCGUUUUGAAGGCUGAGAGAGAUACAAGAGAGAUCCGGGAAGGCAUGGAUCGAUUAGGACAAUGUUUUUAGGUGGAGAAAUGAUGUCACUGACCGAGGAACGACACGGAUUUCCUCUCGGGUAUGGAGAUGGACGUCGCAACAUGGUGAGACUGCCUUUGGUUUGUAGGUUGCAAGAGAUCUAGAUGCAUGGAGAUAGAUCUAGCCGGGCAUAAAAUGAGGAUAAUAAUUGUGAGGACCUGUGCGUCAUAUAUUUAGUUCAAUAUUAAUUAUUUACUAGGUAGAUC